AGGAACCUGCCUUUCAGAGGGGGACAACAGCUGGAAACGGCUGCUAAUACCGCAUGACGCAUUCGGAUGGCAUCAUCUGAAUGCCAAAGAUUUAUCGCUGAAAGAUGGCCUCGCGUCUGAUUAGAUAGUUGGCGGGGUAACGGCCCACCAAGUCGACGAUCAGUAGCCGGACUGAGAGGUUGACCGGCCACAUUGGGACUGAGAUACGGCCCAG
rnacentral:rRNA from 1 species